GCUCGCCUGUCUCUCCGCUGCAGCCUACCGGUGAGGUACUGAACAAGAACGACUCUCUCCCCUUCUCCUGCUCUGUACCGGGAUCCGUUAUAAUCAUGUCUAUAUUCGCUGAAGUACCUCAAGCCCCUCCAGUGGCCGUUUUUAAACUGACUGCCGAUUUCAGAGAGGACACUCACGCGCAGAAGGUGAAUUUGGGAGUCGGAGCCUACCGUACAGAUGACUGUCUACCAUGGGUCCUGCCCGUAGUGAAGAAGGUAGAGAAGAUGAUAGUGGAGGACAGCAGUCUGAACCACGAGUAUCUUCCCAUCCUGGGUCUCCCUGAGCUCCGCUCUGCUGCCUCCAAGGUGGCCUGGGCGAUACAGCCCCGCCAUCAAGGACGGAGGGUGGGAGCGGUCCAGGCAUUGGGAGGUACUGGUGCGUUGAGGAUCGGGGCGGAGUUUCUGAGGCGCUGGUACAACGGCACCAACAACACGGCCACGCCCGUCUACGUCUCCGCGCCAACCUGGGAGAACCACAAUGCAGUGUUUUCUGAUGCUGGGUUUAAAGAUAUCCGCCCCUACCACUACUGGGAUGGAGCAAAGAAAGGCCUGGACGUGACUGGUAUAAUGGAUGACCUGGAGAACGCUCCAGAACACUCUAUCUUUGUGCUUCAUGCCUGUGCCCACAACCCCAGGGACAGACCCCAGCCACGAAUGGAAGACGAUCGCUGAGGUCAUGAAGAGGAGAAAGCUGUUUGUGUUCUUUGACUCAGCCUACCAGGGUUUUGCAUCAGGCAGUCUGGAUAAAGAUGCCUGGGCCAUCCGCUACUUUGUCUCUGAAGGAUUUGAGCUGCUCUGUGCCCAGUCCUUCUCCAAGAACUGGCCUCUACAAUGAGCGUGUUGGUAACCUGACGGUAGUGGCCCAGGAUAAAGACAACCUGACCCGUGUUCUGUCCCAGAUGGAGAAGAUCGUCAGGACCACCUGGUCCAACCCUCCCUCCCAGGGGGCGCGCAUCGUAGCCAUCACACUCAACAACCCCGAUCUGUUCAUAGAAUGGAAGGGUAAUGUAAAGACCAUGGCUGAUCGUGUAUUGUUGAUGAGAGACCAGCUGAAGGCUAAGCUCAUUGCUCUGGGGACGCCUGGCACCUGGGACCACAUCACCCAGCAGAUCGGCAUGUUCAGCUUCACCGGACUCAACCCUAAGCAGGUGCAGUACAUGAUUAAGGAGAAGCAUGUCUACCUGAUGGCCAGCGGUCGUAUCAACAUGUGUGGUCUCACCUCCAAGAACAUCGACUAUGUCGCAGAGUCCAUCCAUGAGACAGUGUCCAAGAUUACUGAGCCAUCUUUAAACAAUCUGAACGCAGACCUCUAGUCGAAGUAUAUCACUCUCCUGGCCAUCGUUAUGUUGCCUUUUUAUUUAUUUUAUUGUGCCAUUUCUGGUUUUGAAAAUGUAUAAAAGAUGACUGUGUGCACUUUGGUUUUAAAAAUAAAUAAAUGUUUCAGAGCACUUGAAAGUGAAGCAAUGCCAGAAGUUGA